rnacentral:rRNA from 1 species
UGAGGAAUCUUCCGCAAUGGGCGAAAGCCUGACGGAGCGACACCGCGUGAAGGAUGAAGGCCCUUGGGUUGUAAACCGCUGUCAGAGGGGAUGAAAUCUUCGGAGGUACUCCUCCGAAGUUGACAGAGCCUCAAAGGAAGCACGGGCUAAGUACGUGCCAGCAGCCGCGGUAACACGUACUGUGCGAACGUUAUUCGGAAUCACUGGGCUUAAAGGGUGCGUAGGCGGCGAUUCAAGUCAGAUGUGAAAUGCCUGAGCUCAACUGAGGCAUUGCGUUUGAAACUGAACCGCUAGAGUAUUUCAGGGGUGUGCGGAACUGCCAGUGGAACGGUGAAAUGUGUUGAUAUUGGCAGGAACACCGGAGGCGAAAGCGGCACACUGGGGAAUAACUGACGCUGAGGCACGAAAGCCAAGGGAGCGAACGGGAUUAGAUACCCGUGUAGUCCCUGAGCGGGCUGGCAAGGCGCAU